rnacentral:rRNA from 1 species
GACGAACGCUGGCGGCGUGCUUAACACAUGCAAGUCGAACGGAAAGGCCCUGCUUUUGUGGGGUGCUCGAGUGGCGAACGGGUGAGUAACACGUGAGUAACCUGCCCUUGACUUUGGGAUAACUUCAGGAAACUGGGGCUAAUACCGGAUAGGAGCUCCUGCUGCAUGGUGGGGGUUGGAAAGUUUCGGCGGUUGGGGAUGGACUCGCGGCUUAUCAGCUUGUUGGUGGGGUAGUGGCUUACCAAGGCUUUGACGGGUAGCCGGCCUGGGAGGGUGACCGGCCACAUUGGGACUGAGAUACGGCCCAGACUCCUACGGUAGGCAGCAGUGGGGAAUAUUGCACAAUGGGCGGAAGCCUGAUGCAGCAACGCCGCGUGCGGGAUGACGGCCUUCUGGUUGUAAACCGCUUUCGCCUGUGACGAAGCGUGAGUGACGGUAAUGGGUAAAGAAGCACCGGCUAACUACGUG